rnacentral:lncRNA from 1 species
CGCGCAAGGCUGGGGGUCGCUGUGCCAGCCCUGCUCCCAUGUGGGCUCCCAGCUCCCCAGGUAGGGACGCUGACCCCGGGAGGUGCCUUUGCCUGCAUCCACUGGAGCCUCAGGAGCAUGCGUUCCGUCCCCACGGGUCACCCCCACUGAGCCCACCACCUACCGAGAGGCACCUCGAGACCCUGUCCUGCCACGGGUGGGCUGUCAAGGCCAGCACCAGAGACCCCCAGCAGACCUCAG